rnacentral:rRNA from 1 species
CCUACGGGAGUCAGCAGUGGGGAAUCUUCCACAAUGGACGAAAGUCUGAUGGAGCAACGCCGCUGGGGUGAAGAAGGGUUUCGGCUCGUAAAGCUCUGUUGGUAGUGAAGAAAGAUAGAGGUAGUAACUGGCCUUUAUUUGACGGUAAUUACUUGGAAAGUCACGGCUAACUACGUGCCAACAGCCGCGGUAAUACGUAGGUUGCAAGCGUUGUCCGGAUUUAUUAGGCGUAAAGCGAGUUCAGGCGGUUCAAUAAGUCUGAUGUGAAAGUCUUCGGCUCAACCUGAGAAUUGCAUCAGAAACUUUUGAACUUGAGUGAAGAAGAGGAGAGUGGAACUCCAUGUGUAGCGGUGGAAUGCGUAGAUAUAUGGAAGAACACCAGUGGCGAAGGCGGCUCUCUGGGCUGCAACUGACGCUGAGGCUCGAAAGCAUGGGUAGCGAACAGGAUUAGAUACCCCAGUAGUC